rnacentral:tRNA from 1 species
ACAUUGGUGGUGCAGUGGGUAGCACUGUCGCCUCACAGCAAGAAGGCUCUGGGUUUGAAUCCCAGCCUGGGCC